rfam:Methylomonas methanica MC09, complete genome.
CGCUUAUUUUGCGCAGGCGGAGCUCGACCGCCCGUUCAAACGAUGAACGCCUUUAUCGAUGAACAUCGCAAGGCUUAUGGGGUCGAGCCAAUCUGCAAAGUAUUGCCGAUUGCCCCA